AUAUUUUUAAACUGAUCGUAGUUUAUCGUUUUAUGUUAUUCUCUUAAUAUUUUAUUCUAAUCAUGGGGAAUGUAUUAAGUACGAUUUGGGACCAAAUUGCCACUUAAAUUAAAUUACAAAUAUUUCAAAUUUUUCUAACAAUUUUACGGAAUUAGAGAGAAGAUAAUAAAAUCUUAUGGACUACAACUUUAGUACCAGACACUAGGUACAAGUCUGCUUUUCUGUGUUUUUUCAAAUAUUUGUUUUUUUUUGUCUGUGAUGCUUUUGUUCUCCAAGCAAACACGCAAUGAAAUAUGUUCAUAAUGUCAUCUGCAACGUUGCUGUUAAUUAUGCUAAUCAACUUUAAAAAGUUCGAAUGAAGACACCAUUUCUUCAUAAUAUCUUUGAGCAGAGACAAAAUUACAGGAAGAUUAGCUGUGUGACGUCACGUGUUUUCCUGGAAUUUUGCUCAUUGUGCAUCGAUUUUCCUCAUUCGGCAAUCCUCGUUAGAAUCCGCUACGGAAUUGGCCGAAUUGUGACGAUUCGAUUUUCUUCUGUUGGACAUUGUAUAAUGACAAUGUGUUUGUUUAUGUUACAUGUUCAAUGCAGCUGUGAUAUUAAUUAUUGUUAUGUGACGUUUACUGUAAAGUCAACUUCACCUGGUGUUCGAGUGAGAAAAAAAACACAUGUAACAUGUGUAUACAGGAAACCAGUUACAUGUACCUGUUUAUUUUUCAUUUUUUUCAUUUUUUUUUUUUAAAUUACGUAUCAACUGCACGUUAUUAGGAACACCCAUAGUCAUUUCCGUUCCUUGUUGAUCGGCACUUAAUUUUUUACGCUUUUGCAAAUUAUGAUAAC
rnacentral:lncRNA from 1 species